rnacentral:rRNA from 1 species
UACGUAGGGUGCGAGCGUUGUCCGGAAUUAUUGGGCGUAAAGAGCUCGUAGGCGGUGUGUCGCGUCGGCCGUGAAAACCUGCAGCUUAACUGUGGGCUUGCGGUCGAUACGGGCAUCACUGGAGUUCGGCAGGGGAGACUGGAAUUCCUGGUGUAGCGGUGAAAUGCGCAGAUAUCAAGUGGAACACCAGUGGCGAAGGCGAGUCUCUGGACAUUUCCUGACGCUGAGGCACGAAAGCCCAGGGGAGC